AGGGGAUAGAAGAAGAAUUCAAUAGAAGAAGGGGAGGGAUGCACCAUAAGCCACCAAAAUAAUUAUUCAUCCAUCAUCAACUGAAAAUUACAAUGCAAAAUAGGUUUAAAUAGCAAAGCAACCCUAACGAGCUUGGGUUCGAGCCCAUACAAGUCCAAAUUUAAAUAAUAGUCCAAGAAAAUAAAUAAAGCUUAAAUAAAAUAAGUAAACGUCGUCCGAUAUCCUCAUCAACUCUCCCGGGGUGGGAGAAAAACUCGACCCUGUCGAGUUGAUAGAUAGUAUAGGCUGCAGUUAAUCUGAUACUCCAAAUGCUUCAAGUCAAGCCACGGGGGACGAUCUUUCUGACGAACCAAGUAACGAAAUUCCAUAAUUGAUAGUACUGAAAACUGUAGCUUAUUCCCAAGAAUAUGAUUUGACCAAGGGGGCCGAUCUUUCCUUCUAACCAAGUACUGAUACUGGACUUCAAUUAACCAAUACCCAUACACCUCAUCUUCAACAUUUUCACAUGAUUGUACAUAAUGAGAAGCAUAAGAAGUACGUCGAUUUACCCAGCAAACAAGGAAGUACUGAAUUUUGCCAUCAUUGGUCAAUACAACACGUUCAUCUAAAAUAACAUCAAUUUUAUCUUUGUGUGCUGUGAUAAAUGGUAUUAAAGUAGAAAUAUCAAUAUAGUCAAAUUGAGGGUCCACAAAUUUAGGUAGAAAUGGAUCAUCAAAGGAAGUAAUACGGUAUUUGUAAGUAAUGAAGUCCUCAAUAUUUAAAGCAGAGUGGUGGCUAAAAUGUGAUGAAAGGGCAAUGACAUGUACAUUUGAACCAACAUGCUUUAAAAUUUUUAAAGGACCAGCACUACAAGCUUGCAAUAUGACAUAAUCCCCAAUAUUAAGUUCAAAAUAUUGUUUAUGCGAAUCAGCUUGAAAUUUAUGUAAUGCAUUACUUGCGUCAUGUUGUUUAUUGAUCUCAAUAUGCAAGUCAUGAAGAUGAUAUACAAAUGCUUUAGCUGACAACAACACACUAGCAUGCGGGGACAUGGGAAUAAGUUCUAACGGUCGCCUAGACUUAUAACUAUGAACAAUUUUAAAUGGAUUUAGACCUAGAGACCGAUUCAUAGAAUUGUUAUAUGCGAUGUGAAUAGUUGGGGGGAUCGAGUCCCAAUUCUCAAGAUUUUUCUGUACUAGAGACUGUAAUAAAUUGCCAAGACUUCGAUUAGCAAUUUCGAUUUGACCAUCAGUUUGAGGUUGUUCAGUAGUGGAGAAUUUCGAUUUAGUGCUAAGAACAAGCGACUGGAUUCUCCAAGGGUGACUAGUGAAAUCAUCAAACUCUUUGAGUUGGGUAAGGGUAUGACAUAUAACAUGUGAUCGAGAGUUGUCGAAAACAAGGGGUAUAGUUUCUAAAGUCUCGAGAAGGGUCGGGAUUCCACUUAAGGAAGUGUCCUCACCAUAGUCAUCAAAAUCUUCAAGUUUAGGGCCAUAUGCUAGAUCUUCUAACUACUCUUCUAUUGCAUUCUUUCGUUCUUCUAUGACUAAGGCUCGGUUAGGACAUUUGGAAGAGAUGUAGCCAAAAUCCUUACAGCUGAUGCAUAGCAAGUGAGAAGUCUUUGGAGUUUCACAAAUUAUACCCUUAUUUUCCAAAAUUGGAGGAACAUUAGACGGGAUAGGUCCUAGAAGGGACUUAACAAGAAGAAGUGGAGCCACAUUAGACGGGGGAGGUCCUAGAAGGGACUUAACAGGAGGAAGUGGAGCCAAUGAAAUCGAAAGAUGAUUGCCAUUACGCUUUCUACAUGAAGAAGAAGAUCUUAGACUAUCACGAUCUUUACAAUUAUUUUUCCAAAUAGGAGGAACAUUAGACGGAGAAGGUUUUAUGAUAGACUUAUGAUGAGGCAGCGCUAAUGAGAUGGGUGAACGACGAUGACCACGCUUUUCAUAUGGAGUACUAAUAAUCAACUCAUAAUCUCGAGCUAAAGAAUAAGCGUGAUCAAGAGUUGUGACACCUCGAAGGAAAAGCUCGCGCUUAAGAUCAUCUCUCAGACCUUGGCUAAACCUACUCAAAGUCAUGCUUUCAUCCUCAAUUAAAUGACAUUUGGUUCGAAAUUCCUCAAAUUGCGCGAUAUACUCAGUCACUAAUUGAUUUCCUUGUUUAAGGGCAUUCCAUUGAGUAAGAAUUUCAAAAUUAUCUCGUUCUCGCUUACGAAUCUGAUCCCUAUUCCUACGAUCGCGUCGAAAAUAUUUUUGAUCACUUUGUCCACGAUGAUAUUGUCUAUUAUGAGACGCUUCAAAAUUAGUGUCAGUUAGACGAGGGGUUCGCUUAAAAUUGCUCAACUUACAGCUAGGUUCUUUCUCUCCUCACGAGUAGCAGUUAUAUUUGAUUGGACAGUCGAUAGGCUAAUGGCAAGUUGUGCUAAUUGUCUAGUGAGUGCAUCAAAUUGGGAUGGAUCCAUGGUCAAUGUAUUGGAAAUAGAGAUGACAAGACAACCACUAUGCAACUACAUGCAAUGUAAUACCAGCUAAAUGACGUACUAUGAUGAGAUCAGUGAACAAUACAUGCAAGCAAUGGAAAAUAACUUGUACCAUUUUUUUUAAUUUAAUUUUAAAUAUUGGGAUUAAUUAAAUCCAAAACAAGCUAAUACUGCUAGUACAUGUAAAAUGGCAAAGCAAGGGUCAACACUAGUCAAAUUCUCCAAUCAAUUUAAGUGGGGAACAAUGGAAGUCAAUUCGGUCACUGGUGUCAAUUCUAUUAAUGGUUUUGAUCAAGUGAGGUUUAAGGCUAAAAUUAUCACAAUAACAACAGCACAAGAUUUUAAUUGAUGCAAUUUUAAAAAUGAAGCAAUAGUAUAAACCAAUACUAAAUAGAGAUCAAGGACUCUCUGUUGUUUAGUUUUGAUUAUUUGUAUGCCGCUUGAUCUGAAUUGUCGACUUAUAAGCCCCAACUAUGCUUCUGUUCUUCCCUUCGUAUCCAAUGGUUUUAGCCCCUGUAGACUGUAACUUGUGCUGGUUCUGGUGUGGACGUAAAACUGUGUGUAGUGAUUGUGGCUUUUAGAUUGUUGAGAUGGACGAGAAAAUAUAUGAGUGUGGUAAUUGUGGUGGAAGUGUAUGAUCUUGGGUAGGUGGUGGUGGCCUAUGGCGAUGAAGUGGUAGUGCUCUGGAUGCCUGGGUACAAUAGAUAAUGAAGUGGUGGCGUGAUGGUGAUUAGAGGCGGCAGCGGCAAGAGAGUGGUUAUGAGAGAGAAAUCGGGUGAAACUGUGGGGUAUUUGAUUUUAAUAGAUUGGUUAUAAUCGGGUUUGGUUGAAUAUUUGGGACUGAUCAUGGGUUGAAUGGUGUUGGGCCGAUUGUGAUAAUAUGUGAUAAGUGGGUUGGAUUUAGUGUUUAUUGGGCUGAAAAGCAAGUGGAUUAGCUAAAUAGAUGAUGAGAGAUGGGAUGUGCGUUUAGUGGGCUUUGGGAGUAAUUUGGGCCACUAGCUUAUGGCCCAAGUGUUUUGAUAAAAAAAAAUGAAUGGAGUAAGUUAUAGAGAUGGAAUAUAUGGGUUGAAGGGCUAAGUAGGCUUGAAUGCUAGGGUUUGGGAUUUGUGGAACAACACCACAAUUUUUUUUUUUUUUUAUUUAUGAGCAGCAGCAGCAGGAGGGAAAAAAUGAGAAUUUUUUUUUGAAGCUGAUAAUAAAAAAAAAAGAAUUUUCGGGUGUGAAUAGUACCUGUGAACAGUAACACGAUUUUUUUUUUGGGGUUGGGAUGUGAACUAAAAUUGCAGAAAAAAACCUAAACUGAAAUUUCCGUUUGUGAACAGUAACGUGAACAGUUUUUUUUUUUUUUUGGAACAACUAUGAAGAAGCUGGAAAAAUAAUAAUUUGGCUGCUCAUGCUAAAAGUUUAUUUGUUUGUGUUGUUCCACAAGUUCUUAGGAACGAAAUAGAAAGAGAUUUUUUGGAUUGGAGAUGAAAGAUUACCCAAGUUUAGGCUCUGAUAUCAAAUUUGAUGCAGCACCAAAAGGAUGAUAAAUAAAAAUAGAAGAAAGAUUCAGAAAGAAUGGGGAAUUAUGGGAGGGGAUAGAAGAAGAAUUCAAUAGAAGAAGGGGAGGGAUGCACCAUAAGCCACCAAAAUAAUUAUUCAUCCAUCAUCAGCUGAAAAUUACAAUGCAAAAUAGGUUUAAAUAGUAAAACAACCCUAACGAGCUUGGGCCCGAGCCCAUACAAGUCCAAAUUUAAAUAAUAGUCCAAGAAAAUAAAUAAAACUUAAAUAAAAUAAGUAAAUGUCGUC
rnacentral:lncRNA from 1 species